GGACUACUAGGGUUUCUAAUCCUGUUUGCUCCCCACGCUUUCGUGCUUCAGUGUCAGUGCUGGUCCAGGUAGCCGCCUUCGCCACUGGUGUUCCUCCCGAUCUCUACGCAUUUCACUGCUACACCGGGAAUUCCACUACCCUCUACCGCACUCUAGCUUGCCAGUAUCCACUGCCAUUCCCAGGUUGAGCCCGGGGAUUUCACAGCAGACUUAACAAACCACCUACGCACCCUUUACGCCCAGUAAUUCCGAGUAACGCUUGCACCCUUCGUAUUACCGCGGCGGCUGGCAC
rnacentral:rRNA from 1 species